rnacentral:rRNA from 1 species
GGGGUUGGUGGGGAAUAUUGCACAAUGGGGGAAACCCUGAUGCAGCCAUGCCGCGUGUGUGAAGAAGGCCUUCGGGUUGUAAAGCACUUUCAGCGAGGAGGAAAGGUUGGUAGCUAAUAUCUGCCAGCUGUGACGUUACUCGCAGAAGAAGCACCGGCUAACUCCGUGCCAGCAGCCGCGGUAAUUAA